rnacentral:rRNA from 1 species
UACGUAGGGUGCGAGCGUUGUCCGGAUUUAUUGGGCGUAAAGGGCUCGUAGGCGGCCUGUCGCGUCGGGAGUGAAAGCCCACUGCUUAACGGUGGGUCUGCUUCCGGUACGGGCGGGCUGGGGUAUGGCAGGGGAGACUGGAAUUCCUGGUGUAGCGGUGGAAUGCGCAGAUAUCAGGAGGAACACCGGUGGCGAAGGCGGGUCUCUGGGCCAUUACUGACGCUGAGGAGCGAAAGCGUGGGGAGCGAACAGG